rnacentral:rRNA from 1 species
CCUACGGGUGACAGCAGUAGGGAAUAUUGCUCAAUGGGGGAAACCCUGAAGCAGCAACGCCGCGUGAGUGAAGAAGUACUUCGUUACGUAAAGCUCUAUCAGCAGGGAAGAAACACUGACCUUACGGUCAGCAGACGGUACCUGUGUAAGAAGCCCCGGCUAACUACGUGCCAGCAGCCGCGGUAAAAGGUAGGGGGCAAGCGGUAUCCGGAUUUACUGGGUGUAAAGGGAGCGUAGACGGUGCGCCAAGUCGGGAGUGAAAUGCCGGAGGUUAACGGCGGAACUGCGUUGGCAACUGGCGAACUAGAGUGCGGGAGGGGUAAGCGGAAUUCCUAGUGUAGCGGUGAAAUGCGUAGAUAUUAGGAGGAACCCCGGUGGCGAAGGCGGCUUACUGGACCGUAACUGACGUUGAGGCUCGAAAGCGUGGGGAGCAAACAGGAUUAGAUACCCCUGUAGUC